rnacentral:rRNA from 1 species
CCCUACGGGACGCAGCGGUGAGGAAUAUUGGUCAAUGGCCGAGAGGCUGAACCAGCCAAGUCGCGUGAGGGAAGACGGCCCUACGGGUUGUAAACCCCUUUUGUCGGGGAGCAAAGCGAACCACGUGUGGUUCAUUGAGAGUACCCGAAGAAAAAGCAUCGGCUAACUCCGUGCCAGCAGCCGCGGUAAUACGGAGGAUGCGAGCGUUAUCCGGAUUUAUUGGGUUUAAAGGGUGCGCAGGCGGAGGUGCAAGUCAGCGGUCAAAUUGAGGGGUUCAACCCCUUCCCGCCAUUGAAACUGGCGUU